rnacentral:tRNA from 1 species
AUAAUGUUAUUUUGGCAGAUUAGUGCAUUAAAUUUAGAAUUUAAUUAUGUAAUAUUUACAAAUAAUAC